AAUAAGUGUAGUUUUACACUAUUCACGUUUAACGUUUGACUGCUCGUCUUAUUUGAAAAUUUUUUAUGAUUAGUAUUUCUAUUGUUAUUAAAUGAUAAAAUACGAAUAGUACUUUAUGUGUGACUAAUUUUUUUAAUUUUUUUAUAAUUUUUUUUCAAAUAAGACGAAUGGUCAAACGUUGGAUACGGAUAUCCAUGGCUGCACNNNNN
rfam:Oryza meridionalis cultivar OR44 (W2112) chromosome 6, whole genome shotgun sequence.